AUAAGUAAAGCUAAAUCAUUAUAAGCCUCUAACUGUUAAUUAGAAGAUUCUUUAAAUAAAUAAAAGUACUUAUU
rnacentral:tRNA from 1 species